rnacentral:rRNA from 1 species
GACGAACGCUGGCGGCGUGCUUAACACAUGCAAGUCGAACGGAAAGGCCCCUUUGGGGGUACUCGAGUGGCGAACGGGUGAGUAACACGUGAGUAACCUGCCCUUGACUUCGGGAUAACUUCAGGAAACUGGGGCUAAUACCGGAUAGGAAUCCUUGCUGCAUGGGGGGGGUUGGAAAGCUUCGGCGGUUUUGGAUGGACUCGCGGCUUAUCAGCUUGUUGGUGGGGUAGUGGCUUACCAAGGCUUUGACGGGUAGCCGGCCUGAGAGGGCGACCGGCCACAUUGGGACUGAGAUACGGCCCGGACUCCUACGGGAGGCAGCAGUGGGGAAUAUUGCACAAUGGGCGGAAGCCUGAUGCAGCAACGCCGCGUGCGGGAUGACGGCCUUCGGGUUGUAAACCGCUUUCAGCAGGGGCGAAGCUUGUGGUGACGGUACCUGCAGAAGAAGCACCGGCUAACUACGUG